ACCUGGGUGGCUUGGUCAGUUAAGCGCCUGACUUCGGCUCAGGUCAUGAUCUCAUGGUCCGUGAGUUCGAGCCCCACAUCAGGCU
rnacentral:tRNA from 1 species